ensembl:lncRNA
CUUGUGGCCCAAAGCUGUUCCUGGGCCAGAGAUUGAAUCUGCAUCCUUUAACCCAAGCCCCCGGGGUUGGAAUUGAACCUGCGCCUCUGCAGUGACCCAAGCUGCUGCAGUUGGUUUCUUAACCCACUGUGCCACAAUGGGAAUUUUGAUUUCUAUUACUUUUAAUUAGUGCAUGUUUGAGUUUAAUGAAGAGGAAAGAACUUGUCAUAGAUAAACCACUCGUUGAAUUAAAAAAAAUGUGCUAAGCCAAGCUGGUGUAGCCCCGACCAGGACUUCAGCAGCGCUCCUGUGGGGCAUUUUUGUCCAGUAGUGGCAGCAGCCUGUCUCUGGGCUUCAGGAGCUCUAGCUGCUCAGAGUGACAAUAAUUUGGGAACAGGUUGAUUUUAUUAAUUGAGAAGGGAGAAGAGCAGGGGUAGAAACCCCACCUAAUCCACAAAGGGACACUGAGCCUAGAGCAGAUCUCAUAAUGAGAAAAAAGCAAAUUAUAGUUUGUUCCCCUAAACAAAUAACCUAAUCCGAUUUUAGCCUAAAUGUGCCUCUGCUCUGCUCUUCCAUUUUUGACCAAAACCUCAUCUUCACCCCUUCCCUGAAGCAUCUCUGACCACUCAUUCAUUCAUUCUUUGCAUGAAGAUACUAAAGUGAGCAGAAAAUAACCACGAGGAAUUUCUCCUGCCCUGAAGGAACUCCUCUGGCCGGGGAGGGUGGACAUCAACCAUCUGGCCUUUGCCACGGGAGAGCAGGGAGGGGCUCCAGCCCCCUCCUGUGGUUGGCUGGGGAGGGGCAGGGUGUGCCAGGCUGUUGGCAUGGCACAUGCAGAGGCCUGCAGGCCUUUUGGAGCAACCUCAGUGACUGGCUGUUGGUCAGGCUGUCAGGAAACCUUCAGUAGCGGGUAGCAGAGGGUGAGCUGGAUAGAUGAGCAGGGGCCAGGAUGUGUGCAGCAUACAGGCCCCUUCAGAGGAGCUGACAUUUUUUUCUUGGGGCAGUGGAGACUCCUUAGAGUCUAAAGCUGAUCUCUCCCCAAGCUCUUGUGGCUUCAUGGUCCAUUCUGUGUAUCUUGUGGUGCAGUUAUUUUGAGUAUUUUGUCUCAGCCUGUAAACUCCAUGAGAAGAGGUGGUAUCAUUUAUACCAGUACCUUCAAGUCACUUGGGCAUCUUUUUGUUUGUUCUUGUUUUUUGUUUUUAUUUAUUUUUCAAUUAAUGAGUUUUAUUACAUUUUGGGGCAUCUUUUAAAGAUAUAGUUCUGCUUUAGGAGGCCUGGGAUGGAAGGCAAGAUUCUGCAUUUCCAACACUCUCCCAGGUUGCUGAUGCUGCCGGUCUGGGGACUACAUUUUGAGUAGCACGGUUCUCGGUUUAGAUAUUUUCUGUUAUACCUCCUUUUAGACGUAGGAGUUGCACAUAUUUUUUGGAACAAAUGCCAUGAUUUCAGAAUAGUUACUUGUAUCUGGGAGGAUAAUAGUGGAAAUAGUGUCCUAUGAAAUAAAACUUAAAAAAAAAUCAACUUUAAUAAAAUUGGGUGUCUGGAGGGAGAAUAGAAGUGAAAGGAAAAAUUUGCAUUGUAUAUUCUUGGACCUUUUGACAAAUUUGAACAUUUUUACAUGUUAACUAUUCAGUUUAUCAGAUUUAAAAAAUACUUUGAUGGUGUUUCCUCUUUUUCAGUGCAUUUCACUUUGCCCCAGAUACCAUUAGGAUAUUAUAAUAGAUUUGGCAUCAAUUUAUUAUUGAAAAAUAGACUCAAAUUACCCUCUCCUUUCAUUUUCCUGUUUUAUUUUUUAUGGCCUCACCCACGGUAUAUGGGAAUUUCCAGGCCAGGGAUUAAAUCUGAGCUGCAGCUCUGCGGCAUUGCCGGAUCCUUUAACCCACUGCAUCAGGGUGGGAUUGAACCCCGGCCUACGCAGUGACCUGAGCAGCUGUUCUUGGAUUCUGAACCCUCUGUGCCACUGCAGGAACUCCCCCUUUUCUUUUUUUAAAAAAGACUGUAUUUUUUUUCAGCAAUUUUAGGUUUAUGGCAAAAUUGAGCAGAAGGUACAGAGAUUUCCCAUACACUCUUGGUUCCCACCCAGGCACAGCCUCCCCUGUCAUCCAUAUCCCCAAACAGUGUGGUACAUUUGUCACAAUUGAUGAACCUGCUCUGACACGUCAUCACCCAAAGUCCGUAGUUUACGCUAUGGCUCAUGUGUUGGAUAAAUGUAUAA